CAGGACAACAAAGAGCCUCCACUCACAGGAAGAUGAAUGCAGCGCGCCUUGGCCACACAAGAGCCUCCUAAUUCAAGCUCCUGUUUUUUCGGACCCUCCAAUAAAGUGGCUGCUUUGAUGCCGAGCAGUAAAAAUGAUGCUAAUGCAGAGACAUGAUGAUGGGUCCUCUAGGGCAUAAAUUACCCUUUUCCAGUUGAAGGAAAGCUUGAAGGGCGCCAGGAAAAAGAUUACAAAGCUCAAGGGGGGCAGGAGGAGAAAUCGCAAACCAGGGAGUG